rnacentral:tRNA from 1 species
AAGGAAAUAAGCUUUUGGCGGUUUCAAUGUUAAUGAAA